rnacentral:lncRNA from 1 species
GCGGCCCCUCGGAGUCCCACCAGGCUCGGUCGCCAUCUUGCGACUGGACAGAAAGGGUAAUCCCUCUUUUUAGUUUCUGCUGUCUGUGACCCGAAAGAAUAAACCUGGGACUUCCGGAAGCCCUCUGGGCACCCCCCCCCCCAGGAGGGUUGCAGAGCCCCUUGGUGUACCCAGCAGAGGAACGCCUCAGACUUUGUUGGGAAACGAAUGGCUCUGAAAGUUAGCUGAAGCCGCUGGAAUAGCCCCCCAGCCCCGAGGCGGGGCAGGUGCCUGCCGUUAUUGGCUUUUCGACCCCAACCCUUUUCUAUCUGGAGCUGCCUUUGUAGAUGUUGCAGGGGUGCCCCGAGAGUGCAGGCCAGAUUUUAGAGGACCAAGGUCAUCUACUUAGGCCUCUUGCCAACACAGGAUGUGUCAACUAGUUUACCAGAGACGAAGGUAAAGUCCCGUCUCCUGCAGUUGUUGACGUUCAGUAGGUCGUCGGUUAAGAAAAGUGGCUCCCUGGUUGACCCCAGCUGGAUAGAGGCUAAUUUUGAUCCAUAUGACAGCUGAACGUAGUUAAAGCCAUUAAAAUUAAAUCCAUUUAAAGUCAUAUUUGGUACCAGGGUCACCAUUUUAAAAGGUGUGUGUGUGUAUGUGUGUGUGUGUG